AACGAACGCUGGCGGCAGGCCUAACACAUGCAAGUCGAACGCUCCGCAAGGAGAGUGGCAGACGGGUGAGUAACACGUGGGAAUCUUCCUAUCGGUACGGAAUAGCUCAGGGAAACUUGAGGUAAUACCGCAUACGCCCUUCGGGGGAAAGAUUUAUCGCCGAUAGAUGAGCCCGCGUCUGAUUAGCUAGUUGGUGGGGUAAUGGCCUACCAAGGCGACGAUCAGUAGCUGGUCUGAGAGGAUGACCAGCCACACUGGGACUGAGACACGGCCCAGACUCCUACGGGAGGCAGCAGUGGGGAAUAUUGGACAAGGGGCGCAAGCCUGAUCCAGCCAUGCCGCGUGAGUGACGAAGGUCAUCGGAUUGUAAAGCUCUUUUGCCAGGGACGAUAAUGACGGUACCUGGAGAAUAAGCCCCGGCUAACUUCGUGCCAGCCGCCGCAGUAAGAC
rnacentral:rRNA from 1 species